UAAUUGGAGAGUUUGAUCCUGGCUCAGAAUGAACGCUGGCGGCGUGCUUAACACAUGCAAGUCGCACGAGAACUCUUCUGCUUGCAGAAGAUAGUAAAGUGGCGCACGGGUGAGUAACGCGUGGGUAAUCUACCUCCGAAUUGGGGAUAACCCGCCGAAAGGCGAGCUAAUACCGGAUAAUAUCUUUAAAACAUCCGUUUUUUUGAUCAAAGGUGGCCUCUACAUGUAAGCUACUGUUUGGAGAUGAGCCCGCGUACCAUUAGCUUGUUGGUAGGGUAAUGGCCUACCAAGGCUUCGAUGGUUAGCUGGUCUGAGAGGAUGAUCAGCCACA
rnacentral:rRNA from 1 species